ACCGAAAUAUCUCAGCUGGGAGAGCGUUAGACUAUAGAUCGAAAAGUCCCUGGUUCGAUCCCGGGUUCCGGCA
rnacentral:tRNA from 1 species